rnacentral:rRNA from 1 species
GACGAACGCUGGCGGCGUGCUUAAUACAUGCAAGUAGAACGCAGUUGCGAAUGGGUGCGUAACGCGUAGGUAACCUGCCUCAUCGCGCGGGAUAACUAUUGGAAACGAUUGCUAAUACCGCAUACUUUGAGAUGGACCUGCGUUGUAUUAGGUAGUUGGUGAGGUAAAGGCUCACAAAGGCGACGAUACAGAGCCGACCUGAGAGGGUGACAAGCCACACUGGAACGGAGACACGGUCCAGACUCCUACGGGAGGAAGCAGUGGGGAAGAUUGCACAAUGGGCGCAAGCCUGAUGGAGCAAUGCGGCGUGAGUGAAGAAGGCCUUCGGGUUGUAAAGUACUUGCAUCGGAGAGGCGUUACCCGCAGAAGAAGCACCGGCUAACUCAGUGACAGCAGCCGCGGUAAUUC